rnacentral:tRNA from 2 species
GCUCUGGUAGUCUAGUAUGGUCUAGGACAUUGGCCUGUCACGCCGAUAACCUGGGUUCAAAUCCCAGCCAGGGCG